AAAGCUCAAAUUGAAAAUCGGUGAUCCACGCGGGUCAUCGAGUUGUAAUCUAGAGACGUGUUAUCAGCGUGUGACCCAGUUAUAAAUCUUUUGGAACAAGGUAUCAUAGAGGGUGAGAAUCCCGUCUUUGAAUUGGAGAUCGCCGCGUACGAUACACGUUCGACGAGUCGAGUUGGUCGGGAUUCCAGCUCUAAAUGGGUGGUAAAUUUCAUCUAAAGCUAAAUAUUGGCGAGAGACCGAUAGCGAA
rnacentral:rRNA from 1 species